CAAAGCUUUUCUAAGUGUUGAACUCUCUCACAAAUCACCUCUACCUCACUUUCACUCAGACGCCCACUCUUACCUCUACCUCCACCUCACUACUGCAAUCUCAAUCUCUCCGACGAUUGAAGACCGGUGAAGUACCAUGGCUCUCUGGCAUGAAGACCAAGUAAUUCUCCAAGUGUCUACAGCGAAGUGUUUGGAUAGGUGGGAGUAUAUUGGCGUCACUUGGUUCCUUUCAGCAAAUGUGGUUUUCAAAAUCUGAGUUUGAGGAACAUGGAGCUUCUAAUGUUCAAAGAAAAUGCCCGUAAAGUACUUUACUGGUGCGGACAAUUAUCACAUUAGACAGAAAUUCAUGGAUUUGACUUCACUUUGAUUAGUUCACUGACAGUAUGGGUUGCUCGGUUUUAAUAUCCUGCUUUAUAGGCGCCCAAACAAUGUACUAUAUAUAUAUAUAUAUAUAUAUAUACUGUACCUCUCGCGGAUCGUUGCUAAUGUUGUACAAUUAUGUUACCUGACUUUUAGUUCAGCAAAUUAUACUUGU